rnacentral:piRNA from 1 species
UGGCCUUUCUCUUGUUGAGAUGGAUGGUC